UGGCCGCAGCUACCACAGCGUCUUCCUCGGAUUCGCAGGCGAACCCGUGACAUUCCAGGAGUCUGGCAGCCCCAGGUCGUCGCAUCACCACUGCGAAGAUCGGCGGAUAUAAUUCUGCUUCAUUUUUUAAACCGCGCAUCGUCCUAAAAUUGAAAUUAAAAUUCAAAUUACACAGUGUCUGCGUGUAUCUUUGAUCCUGAUCGCCGACUAAAGGUAAGAAGGCGUGAUGCACGUCACCCGAUGGUAUUCUCUUGCACCUCAGCUUCAGGGCACUCCAUACCGCUAUCCUGCGAAAGGGAUUAUUCUUCUCACAGAUAUCGCUCGUACGGUAUGUCAGUCCACGCCUGGAGAUUUCCAACUCGGCCCUGACACACCCUUCUAUACGUUCCAAUAGCUGACGAAGAGGCUCUUGAAGACCCCGAACACUCGCUACGCGUCCGCCGACCGGAGCAGCUCCCAUAUAUUUUACCUAUGUAAAAAAAGCUUCUUUUGUGAGUUCUGAUCAAAGUGCGCGAAGCGAGGCGAAACAAUGCAGCGCUGCCCAAACCCCAUAAAACAGAAUCGUGUCGGCGCAAAGGAAUCCGUGUACCGGCAUAACGACUGAAGGAGAAUUUUUCAGCGCUCCGAAUAGUUUGUGGAAGUCUGUCACGCUUCGUGGAUCGUGAGUGGAAUGAAAGUGACGAUUAAAAAUUCCGAAUAGACGUCCUGAGGAAAGUCGAAGGACUUUUCGCGACGUUUUUUCUCUAAUUGGGAUGCAUCUGUGAUAAUGGCGAUUGCAAUUGUGCAAUAUAUGCGCGACAUGCAUACCAAAUACAGAAUAGAC